rnacentral:misc_RNA from 1 species
GUAUUGUAUUGCGUUAAACGCGGCAUACAUUCCAUGAGACUUUAUUACAGUGUGUGUGUGUAAAGACAUAGAACCACAGCAGGAGGACAGAGUCCCCAAGGCCAUAGAACUACAGAGGGUGCACAGGUGUGAGUGGAUGUCCAAACAGAGCGUGCACAUACCCCCGUUUGAGGGCCAGCAACAACUCAUGUUGGCAGUUCAGUAAUGAUCCUUCCGCAGGUUCACCUACGGAAA